CUAGCCCCACCAGCAGUCCCUGCCAGUCUGUGGGUGCCAGUCUCUGGUACAGGCCACCCCAGGAAGGCCCUGUCAGUUUCCAUCUUCCUAAGACGUGUGGCCCCUCUCAUCUGCAGAACUCUCCUGUCUCGUGUUUAUACCUUUUAAAACUGUUUUGCCAUCAUUUUUAUGAAGUUUCCAGAGGAAGCAGAGGACAAAGCUGCAAGGGAAACGCUUACUCUUCCUAAAAGGCCGUGUGUGAGCAGCAGCCCGCCCCCCGGAUCCCAUCAGGACCCUCUUCCCUGCAGCCUGGGGAUGUGGUGCCUCGGGCCUCCCAGAGCAGCCCUGAGCCCCGCUGGGCCCCAGCACCCUCCAAGCCCGCCCGGCAGCCUGCUGGAGAAUCACGGUCCCCCAGGUCCGAGGCCUCAGAAGCAAUGGCAGGCAGGAUGGAGCUCUUCCUGCGGAACCUUGGGGCUCUGUUCUCGGAGUCUCCGGGUCUCUGAUCCUGGGUGAGUGAAUCCCACUGUGGGAGCUCAAUCCCACCCUGGAGUCUCCUGUCCUUGCCCUGCAGGGUCACCGGGAGGGAGCAACAGCGCCUUAUCCGGUUGAGGACACCAGGGCCGGCGGAGUCCACCCACUGACCCACCCAUCCUUCUCGGCACGGGACUGCAGUGACCUGGAGGCCAAGCCGGCCCUGG